GAUGCACCGUAGUUUACUACACCGUAUUCUGUGAGUUGCGAACGGGUGAGUAACGCGUAGGUAACCUGCCUGGUAGCGGGGGAUAACUAUUGGAAACGAUAGCUAAUACCGCAUAAGAACAUUUACUGCAUGGUAGAUGUUUAAAAGGUGCAAAUGCAUCACUACCAGAUGGACCUGCGUUGUAUUAGCUAGUAGGUGAGGUAACGGCUCACCUAGGCGACGAUACAUAGCCGACCUGAGAGGGUGAUCGGCCACACUGGGACUGAGACACGGCCCAGACUCCUACGGGAGGCAGCAGUAGGGAAUCUUCGGCAAUGGGGGGAACCCUGACCGAGCAACGCCGCGUGAGUGAAGAAGGUUUUCGGAUCGUAAAGCUCUGUUGUUAAGGAAGAACGAGUGUGAGAAUGGAAAGUUCAUACUGUGACGGUACUUAACCAGAAAGGGACGGCUAACUACGUGCCAGCAGCCGCGGUAAUACGUAGGUCCCGAGCGUUGUCCGGAUUUAUUGGGCGUAAAGCGAGCGCAGGCGGUUAGAUAAGUCUGAAGUUAAAGGCAGUGGCUCAACCAUU
rnacentral:rRNA from 1 species